UACAACAAAACAGGAUAGCAGGGUGGGCGGCUAAUCCCCUAGAAAGGGGGUGAUGCCAUGAAUCAGAUGUAUCAAACAAUAUCUUUAAUGAUUGCAUUUGCAACUUUGGUUGUUUUGAUACUUCGAUUUGCGUUUGAUAUAACGCAAAAGAAAAAGUAGCCCAUCCCUGACCGGAAGCUACUUUUUCCGUAUUCCUAUAACCGCUCACUUUGCGGCUUGUUGUGCAAGCUAGGGUGCUGUAACAUCCUAG
rnacentral:sRNA from 1 species